rnacentral:rRNA from 1 species
GAUUCGUCACACUAUCAUUAACUGAAUCCAUAGGUUAAUGAGGCGAACCGGGGGAACUGAAACAUCUAAGUACCCCGAGGAAAAGAAAUCAACCGAGAUUCCCCCAGUAGCGGCGAGCGAACGGGGAGGAGCCCAGAGCCUGAAUCAGCAUGUGUGUUAGUGGAAGCGUCUGGAAAGGCGCGCGAUACAGGGUGACAGCCCCGUACACAAAAGCGCAUGUGCUGUGAGCUCGAUGAGUAGGGCGGGACACGUGGUAUCCUGUCUGAAUAUGGGGGGACCAUCCUCCAAGGCUAAAUACUCCUGACUGACCGAUAGUGAACCAGUACCGUGAGGGAAAGGCGAAAAGAACCCCGGCGAGGGGAGUGAAAAAGAACCUGAAACCGUGUACGUACAAGCAGUGGGAGCACAGGUUUACCUGUGUGACUGCGUACCUUUUGUAUAAUGGGUCAGCGACUUAUAUUCUGUAGCAAGGUUAACCGUAUAGGGGAGCCGGAGGGAAACCGAGUCUUAAUUGGGCGUUAAGUUGCAGGGUAUAGACCCGAAACCCGGUGAUCUAGCCAUGGGCAGGUUGAAGGUUGGGUAACACUAACUGGAGGACCGAACCGACUAAUGUUGAAAAAUUAGCGGAUGACCUGUGGCUGGGGGUGAAAGGCCAAUCAAACCGGGAGAUAGCUGGUUCUCCCCGAAAGCUAUUUAGGUAGCGCCUCGUGAAUUCAUCUCCGGGGGUAGAGCACUGUUUCGGCUAGGGGGCCAUCCCGGCUUACCAACCCGAUGCAAACUGCGAAUACCGGAGAAUGUUAUCACGGGAGACACACGGCGGGUGCUAACGUCCGUCGUGAAGAGGGAAACAACCCAGACCGCCAGCUAAGGUCCCAAAGUCAUGGUUAAGUGGGAAACGAUGUGGGAAGGCCCAGACAGCCAGGAUGUUGGCUUAGAAGCAGCCAUCAUUUAAAGAAAGCGUAAUAGCUCACUGGUCGAGUCGGCCUGCGCGGAAGAUGUAACGGGGCUAAACCAUGCACCGAAGCUGCGGCAGCGAACGUAUCACCCAAGACAACUUUACGGAGUUGACGAUUGACGGAGCGAAGCGACGUCAAAGCGUUCAUUAAAGUCGAGUUGGCUUAGGGAUACGUUCGUUGGGUAGGGGAGCGUUCUGUAAGCCUGUGAAGGUGUGUCGUGAGGCAUGCUGGAGGUAUCAGAAGUGCGAAUGCUGACAUAAGUAACGAUAAAGCGGGUGAAAAGCCCGCUCGCCGGAAGACCAAGGGUUCCUGUCCAACGUUAAUCGGGGCAGGGUGAGUCGACCCCUAAGGCGAGGCCGAAAGGCGUAGUCGAUGGGAAACGGGUUAAUAUUCCCGUACUUGGUGUUACUGCGAAGGGGGGACGGAGAAGGCUAUGUUGGCCGGGCGACGGUUGUCCCGGUUUAAGCGUGUAGGUGUGUGUUCCAGGUAAAUCCGGUUCACUUUAACACUGAGGCGUGACGACGAGGCACUACGGUGCUGAAGCAACAAAUGCCCUGCUUCCAGGAAAAGCCUCUAAGCAUCAGGUAACAUCAAAUCGUACCCCAAACCGACACAGGUGGUCAGGUAGAGAAUACCAAGGCGCUUGAGAGAACUCGGGUGAAGGAACUAGGCAAAAUGGUGCCGUAACUUCGGGAGAAGGCACGCUGACACGUAGGUGAAGUGAUUUACUCAUGGAGCUGAAGUCAGUCGAAGAUACCAGCUGGCUGCAACUGUUUAUUAAAAACACAGCACUGUGCAAACACGAAAGUGGACGUAUACGGUGUGACGCCUGCCCGGUGCCGGAAGGUUAAUUGAUGGGGUCAGCGCAAGCGAAGCUCCUGAUCGAAGCCCCGGUAAACGGCGGCCGUAACUAUAACGGUCCUAAGGUAGCGAAAUUCCUUGUCGGGUAAGUUCCGACCUGCACGAAUGGCGUAAUGAUGGCCAGGCUGUCUCCACCCGAGACUCAGUGAAAUUGAACUCGCUGUGAAGAUGCAGUGUACCCGCGGCAAGACGGAAAGACCCCGUGAACCUUUACUAUAGCUUGACACUGAACAUUGAGCCUUGAUGUGUAGGAUAGGUGGGAGGCUUUGAAGUGUGGACGCCAGUCUGCAUGGAGCCGACCUUGAAAUACCACCCUUUAAUGUUUGAUGUUCUAACGUGGACCCGUAAUCCGGGUUGCGGACAGUGUCUGGUGGGUAGUUUGACUGGGGCGGUCUCCUCCUAAAGAGUAACGGAGGAGCACGAAGGUUGGCUAAUCCUGGUCGGACAUCAGGAGGUUAGUGCAAUGGCAUAAGCCAGCUUGACUGCGAGCGUGACGGCGCGAGCAGGUGCGAAAGCAGGUCAUAGUGAUCCGGUGGUUCUGAAUGGAAGGGCCAUCGCUCAACGGAUAAAAGGUACUCCGGGGAUAACAGGCUGAUACCGCCCAAGAGUUCAUAUCGACGGCGGUGUUUGGCACCUCGAUGUCGGCUCAUCACAUCCUGGGGCUGAAGUAGGUCCCAAGGGUAUGGCUGUUCGCCAUUUAAAGUGGUACGCGAGCUGGGUUUAGAACGUCGUGAGACAGUUCGGUCCCUAUCUGCCGUGGGCGCUGGAGAACUGAGGGGGGCUGCUCCUAGUACGAGAGGACCGGAGUGGACGCAUCACUGGUGUUCGGGUUGUCAUGCCAAUGGCACUGCCCGGUAGCUAAAUGCGGAAGAGAUAAGUGCUGAAAGCAUCUAAGCACGAAACUUGCCCCGA